rnacentral:rRNA from 1 species
UACGUAGGGGGCAAGCGUUGUCCGGAUUUAUUGGGCGUAAAGAGCGUGUAGGCGGCUAGGUAGGUCCGUUGUGAAAACUCGAGGCUCAACCUCGAGACGCCGGUGGAAACCAUCUAGCUAGAGUCCGGAAGAGGAGAGUGGAAUUCCUGGUGUAGCGGUGAAAUGCGCAGAUAUCAGGAAGAACACCGGUGGCGAAGGCGGUUCUCUGGGAAUUACCUGACGCUGAGGAGCGAAAGCAUGGGGAGCGAACAGG